rnacentral:rRNA from 1 species
ACAGUCAAAUCACGCUGAAACACCGGUUCUCGUUCGAUCACCGAAGUUAAGCAUCGUAGAGCCAGGUCAGUACUUAGAUGGGAGACCGCUUGGGAACACCUGGUACUGUAAG